rnacentral:rRNA from 1 species
AACGACUCUCGGCAACGGAUAUCUCGGCUCUCGCAUCGAUGAAGAACGUAGCGAACUGCGAUACUUGGUGUGAAUUGCAGAAUCCCGUGAACCAUCGAGUCUUUGAACGCAAGUUGCGCCCGAAACCUUUGGUCGAGGGCACGUUUGCCUGGGUGUCAC